rnacentral:rRNA from 1 species
UACGUAGGGUGCGAGCGUUGUCCGGAAUUAUUGGGCGUAAAGAGCUCGUAGGCGGUGUGUCACGUCGUUCGUGAAAACCUGCAGCUUAACUGUGGGCGUGCGGUCGAUACGGGCAUCACUGGAGUCCGGCAGGGGAGACUGGAAUUCCUGGUGUAGCGGUGAAAUGCGCAGAUAUCUGGAGGAAUACCGGUGGCGAAGGCGGCAUCCUGGACCGACAUUGACGCUGAGGAGCGAAAGCUAGGGGAGCAAACGGG